AUAUAUAUAUAUAUGUGUGUGUGUAAAAGUCUUCAUGAAGUUCCACUGAGUGAUGGAGAUUCAGUUUAUUGAAGAAUAAACAAUUUAUUGUAAAUUUUGCGAAGCUGGACACCUCCAAGUGACUUGAUAGAUUCACCCUGGGACACCAAACCUCCGAAGACACACAAAC